GCUCGGGCGGCAUUUAUGGAAUGUGAGCGUUCUUGCUAUUUCCUCUGUUGGCAAGAACCGUUCCAUUCUUUCAUUCUCCAGGUGUGACAACGCCCACUCCCGCACCCUGUGCCCACUGCUCCCUUGGUAGUCGUCCUGAAGGUGUCUUGGUGGUGUGGGAACAGGCUCAGAGCAUGAGGGGAGCAUGGAGAAGGCCUGCCGUCCAGAAAGAUGCCAGGAAAAGUCAGAGGGCAGAAUAGACAGGAGAGCCAGGCCAGCAGAUCUGUGAGAGAGCUUCGCAGGGGCCUGGCUCUCUGCGAAAGACCGGCAGGCAGGCAAGCUGGGGAGAGAGUUCUUCACAUGAGCAGAUUCCUGUUCCCGUGCAGGGGAGGGUGCAGAAGUAGGGAGACCCACAAAGGAGCAACCACCAAGAGUUAUCAGACUCAGAUGCCAGCAGAGGCUCAGGGCAGGACAGAGGCCAAGAGUUUAUUUUGAAAAGGGAGGAGGGAGGUGGGUGGAGGGUGAGGUGGCUCCAGAGAGGCUCUGGUGGUGGGAGCUGGGGGUGUCUGAAGCAGGAGCUACAUGGACGUUUUCGUUUCCCUAAAUUUAUAAGUUGAUGUCUCUAGACAUCUCUAGAGGUGACAUUUUGGAGAGCUAAUUGUGUUUUAUAAAGUUAUAAGGAUGGGACCCCCAUGCUGAGAUGUGCACUCUUAACCGAAGAGAAAGAGACCGGAACCCUCUCCCCUCUGUUGUUUGAGGACACGGUGCAAAGGAAGCCAUCUGCAGCCAGGAAGAAGGCCGCCCUAGCGAUGGAAUUUGUAGGAUUGUUGAUCUGGAGUGUCGUGAGAAGCCGAUGUCUGGCAAUUAAGUGGCCCUGUUUGUGCUGUUGUGUUAUGAAUGCGGAUUACAACCCUAGCCUUGGUCAUCGUCUACAGAAGGUGGGGAGGGCCCUGGCGCACAGGGGAAAGGGUUAGGGAGACAGCGGGGAGUCUCAGGAGAAGUGGAAAGGCUGCUGAGCUGAGAGUUCUGUGAGGUCACAGGACACAGGCGGUUUAGAACCCAAACCUCACAAGUAUAGGUUCCUCCAGCUGCCUUCAUGAGCACACGUUAGAAGAAGGCAAAUGGUUAAACUGAUCCUCAGAGAGCUUUACCAACAGUGGAAGGAACAGGCCAGAGAGGUUAAGGUUGCAGAGAGGAGCAAGAGAAGAGACACUUACACACACAUAUGUGUCAAUAUAACCAUGCAUAAUUAUAUAUGCAUAUGAUUAUGUGUGAAUAUAUGAGAUACAUAAUAGAUAAAUGGACAGGUACAUAGAUAGAUUAGGCAGAUUAGACAUGAUUUACUAAACUAGAAUAGGGGUAGGGAGGUUUUGUCUAUAUAUGUAUAUGUGUAUGUGUGUAUGUAUGUAUAUAUAUACACACAUACAUACACACAUGCACAUAUAUAUGUGCAGCUAUCAAAGAACAUUUCUGGUAAAUUAAUUUUUUCUAGAAAAAAAAAGCAAGGUAAGACUAAUACUUCGGAAGAUGAUAUAAUGGUCCAGGUCAGAAUUAGCAAACACAGACAGUAAGCUACAGACUCCACCCUGUGCCCAGAGUGGUCACCUUUACUGGAUAGUCAUGCUCUUGAGCUGAGCUCUGAAUUGUUCUUAACACAGGGCUCAGGGAGCCAGUUUCAGUGAACUGGAAUUGGCCCCUGCCUUGCAACCUGCUUCUAGCUUAGGAACAGGCCAAAAGGGGUAAGUCUGGGCUCGAUUUGUUAGGUCCUCGAAGAAGCCUUAGCACCGUGGAGCCUGCCCUGGGAGAAAACUCUUCUCACAGCCAAUCAUGGUUCUCGGUUCCUGGAAACCUGAGAGAGCUAAGGGUAGGGCUAGGGAUGAAGUCAGAAUUUUCCUGGGGGCACAAACAGAAAACCAGUUUACUGAAGCCCCAGAGUGUACUUGGCCUGCUACCUUGGAGCCCCAGGAUGACCCUUCAGCCCCAGCUGAGCUUUCGGAAGUGGGGAAUAAGGCAAACCGUGGCUCUCACGUUGAAGUGACCUUCCACAGAGCCUAGAUAAGUGUCCGGGCUCUGCUUGAGGGGCCUUUGGGAGAAGGCAUCCGAUUCUCUUUAGUUUCUGCAGGCCCAGCCUGAGGCGGCGAGGAAGCGGAGCAGCUUGGGGCGAUCUCCGAGAAAUGCCUUUCACUUAUUUAAUUCCCGUUUCCUCUGGGUGCGCAGCCUCAAACUUCAGGAAGCUUUGUUUCCUUCCGCUCUUGUGGAACGCUCUGGUUUUAAGUCUUUGUUUACAUCAGUCGUGGUGAAACCAGUCUCUGGUUACACAACGUGGGUGAAGGAACAGCAGUGGUGAAAGCUGGGGACUCCCGUGCAGGCCAAAGUUUCUAAGAGAUCAGCUGUUCCUAUAGGAAUUAGCAGUCUUAACACCUGGCGUGUCACAGCUUCCUCCAGAUGGUUGCUAAUACCGACUGGGUGAGCCACCACUGGCAUCCAGGCCUGCUGCUACAGAGGAAUGCUUGUUCCUUUUAGGGACUGAAGUGGGUUCAGCGUGAAGAGCUCCUGGACGACGUUUUACUAUUUGUCUUUUUGUUCAGAUACUUCCGCUGCCCAAGCAAGUGGAUGAGCUUCUGCGGGACAACUUGUUGAGGUCACUCUCCCUCGAUCCCUUAUUUUCCCACCAGCCUCAUUCUUAUCAGCCCCUCAGCGGCAACUCCUCAGUUUGCCCAUUUGGGCUCUCUCAGUCAAUUCAGGCUGCUAAAGAAGACGGAGUGGCUCAUAGACGACAGAAACAGAAUCUCCACAGUUCCAGAGUCUGGGAAGUCUAAGAGGACCUGAAUCCACACUGGGGAUGGGAAGGUGUCUCCCAAUCACCUGUAACUCCAACUCCAGGAGAUCUGAUACUCUUCUCUGGUCUGGGAGGCACCUGCACACAGGUGACAGUGUGUGAUGUGGUCUUUGGGAAGAAAGCUUUCAUAGAGCGGAUUGGUGUCCGAACUGAUGACUAACAGGCUCCCGAGGGCUUGCUUUGCCUUGUUACAUGAUGCUCAACUAUGAGAUGAUGCCUCAAGGCCCUCCCAAAAGCCGAGAAGAUUCUGGCGCUGUGCUCACAGACCUCCUGAACCAAAAUAAACCUCUUUGUUUUAGAAA